ensembl:snRNA U12 U12 minor spliceosomal RNA
AUGCCUUAAACUUAUGAGUAAGGAAACGAAUGAUUUGGGGUCAUGCCCGAAUCCUCACUGCUAAUGUAAGAUGAAUUUUUAAGAUGGUAAAGGUUUUCCCUAAGGCCUAUAUUGCAGGAUGCCUGGGAAUCACAAUUUGCCCG